AUUGAACGCUGGCGGCAUGCCUUACACAUGCAAGUCGAACGGCAGCACGGGUGCCUGCACCUGGUGGCGAGUGGCGAACGGGUGAGUAAUACAUCGGAACGUACCCUAUCGUGGGGGAUAACGCAGCGAAAGCUGUGCUAAUACCGCAUACGCCCUGAGGGGGAAAGCGGGGGAUCGCAAGACCUAGCGCGUGUAGAGCGGCCGAUGCCUGAUUAGCUCGUUGGUGGGGUAAAAGCCCACCAAGGCGACGAUCAGUAGCUGGUCUGAGAGGACGAUCAGCCACACUGGGACUGAGACACGGCCCAGACUCCUACGGGAGGCAGCAGUGGGGAAUUUUGGACAAUGGGGGCAACCCUGAUCCAGCAAUGCCGCGUGAGUGAAGAAGGCCUUCGGGUUGUAAAGCUCUUUUGUCAGGGAAGAAACACCGGCUCUAACACAGUCCGGGAAUGACGGUACCUGAAGAAUAAGCACCGGCUAACUACGUGCCAGCCGCCGCCGUAA
rnacentral:rRNA from 1 species